rnacentral:tRNA from 1 species
GCCUGAGUGGCGGAAUAGGUAGACGCGCCGGACUUAAAAUCCUGUGCCCAUUUCGGGCGUGCCGGUUCGAUUCCGGCCUCAGGUACUA